GAUAUAGCCGGCACAGAUACCACGAGAAUACGGAGAGGGCAGGUGUUUAGCGUAAUACUUGGGAGUAAGACGACAGCUGGCUGUUGGAUAAUGUCGCUGGGAAAGCCCCUGGCGCAACCUGGGAAGUGCAUUUAAACCUGUCCAGCUAGAGUCUUGUAGAGGGGGGUAGAAUUCCAGGUGUAGCGUUGAAAUGCGUAGAGAUCUGGAGGAAUACCGGUGGCGAAGGCGGCCCCCUGGACAAAGACUGACGCUCAGGUGCGAAAGCGUGGGGAGCAAACAGGAUUAGAUACCCUGGUAGUC
rnacentral:rRNA from 1 species